GUUGGUGGACUCUCUUCACACGGAUGCACUUGACAUUUUGUGCUGAAGACCCAGGACAGGAGGACUCCUUCGAGAGACCAGUCCCCCAUCCUUGCCCUCACUCGGUGAGGAGAUCUACCUAUGACCUCAGGUCCUCAGACCAACCAGCCCAAGGAACAUCUCACCAAUUUCAGAUCGGAUCUUCUCAGCUUAGCGGCUGAAGACUGACGCUGCCCGAUUGAUUGCCUGGGAAGCCUCCUGGACCAUCACAGACGCCUUGGGUAACUCUUACAGUGGAGGACAGGAAUGUCAGGCCGGCCUCUGAGCCCAAGCAUGCAUGUAUACAUCCAGAUGGCCUGAGGCAACUGAAGAACCACAAAAGAAGUGAAAAUGGCUAGUUCCUGCCUUAACUGAUGACAUUACCUUGUGACAUUCCUUCUCCGGGACAGUGAGUCUCCGGAGCUCCCCACUGAGCACCUUGUGACCCCCGCCCCUGCCCGCAAGAGAACAACCCCCUUUAACUGUAAUUUUCCACCACCUACCCAAAUCCUAAAAAACGGCCCCACUCCUAUCUCCCUUUGCUGACUCCUUUUUCGGACUCAGCCAACCUGCACCCAGGUGAUUAAAAAGCUUUAUUUCUCA
rnacentral:lncRNA from 1 species